UUUUAUUCAAUCACCUACCUCUCCACCACACUAAUCUUUUUCCCUACCACCACUAAUAUUUUCUUUUCCCUACCACUAAUCUUUUUCCCUACCACCACUAAUAUUUUCUUUUCCCUACCACUAAUCUUUUUCCCUACCACCACUAAUUUGUUUUCAUACCACUACGCUUUGUAAAAAAAAAAUAGCUUUUAGUCAUGCCCUUAUAUCCUUACUUCUCUCUGCACAACCAAAGUUGGAAUUCAUAGAAGCCUUUAAGCUCCAAGAGUAGUAUCAAAGUAAGGGAGAGCGUGGGAAACCUAGGGCGUAAAGUUAGAGUGAAGAUUGUGCUUCGAGGGCUUUGUGACCAGGGGGAUUAGCGCUGCUUUCCCAAGACAGGUUUUUAUGUGUAUGAUCUUCAGGCUUUGCCUAUCCAGGUUGGCUGGCCGGUGCUGACGGGACGGAGCUGAGGUUAGCGAUAAAUUCCUAUGUUAGACUUCCGCUGUAGCAAUUACUCAUAUCAGUCUUUUGUUUUUCCAACUUAAGAUCUUCAUGUUAAAUUUCAAAUGAUAUACCUGACCGAGCUUAGACUCAUCACUACUAAAUUUAUGCCAAUGAAUGUCGGUUGUCAGAAGCAUGAAACAAAACUCGUGAUCCAAAGGGGCAUAGCCCGACUUUCUAUCCUAUUUCGGGUUUUUACAAGGUUGUUCCUUGUUUAUU